UUCUUUUCGUUAAUAUGAGAAGUUUAACCUGCCCUAUGAUUAAUAAUUUAAUGGCAGCGGUACUUUGACCGUAUAAAGGUAGCAUAAUCAAUUGUCUUUUGAAUGAGGUCUGGCAUGAAAGGUUUAACGUUGUCACUCUAUAAUAGAAAAAAUAAAAAAACUUAAAUUUUGGGUAAAAAUGCCCAGAUAUGAAAAAGAGACGAGAAGACCCUAUAGAUCUUAACAAUCAAUUUGAAAAAAAAUCUUGAUUGUUUAGCUGGGGCGGUGGUUGAAAUGAACUUCGCAAAUCAAAUCCUAGAAAACUAUAAGAGAAGAAAAUAAAUUUAUUAAUGAAAAGUUACCUUAGGGAUAACAGCGCAAUAAUAAAUAAGGAAAUUUAUUUGAAUUUAUGAUUACGACCUCGAUGUUGAAUUAGAAUAAGUAAAUUAAGCACAACUUGUUUACGACAGACUGUUCGUCUAUAAAAUUCU
rnacentral:rRNA from 1 species